rnacentral:rRNA from 1 species
GCAGCCGCGGUAAUACGUAGGUUGCAAGCGUUGUCCGGAAUUACUGGGUGUAAAGGGCGUGUAGGCGGAGAUGCAAGUCGGGAGUGAAAUCCAUGGGCUCAACCCAUGAACUGCUCUCGAAACUGUAUCCCUUGAGUAUCGGAGAGGCAAGCGGAAUUCCUAGUGUAGCGGUGAAAUGCGUAGAUAUUAGGAGGAACACCAGUGGCGAAGGCGGCUUGCUGGACGACAACUGACGCUGAGGCGCGAAAGCGUGGGGAGCAAACAGGAUUAGAUACCCC